GCCCAGCCAGCUCAGUAGGUAGAGUAUGAGACUUUUAAUCUCAGGGUGGUGGGUUCGAGCCCCAUGUUGGGGG
rfam:Mus musculus chromosome 19, GRC primary reference assembly.